rnacentral:rRNA from 1 species
AUUGAACGCUGGCGGCAUGCCUUACACAUGCAAGUCGAACGGUAACAGGUCUUCGGAUGCUGACGAGUGGCGAACGGGUGAGUAAUACAUCGGAACGUGCCUAGUAGUGGGGGAUAACUACUCGAAAGAGUGGCUAAUACCGCGUGAGAUCUACGGAUGAAAGCAGGGGAUCGCAAGACCUUGUGCUACUAGAGCGGCCGAUGGCAGAUUAGGUAGUUGGUGGGAUAAAAGCUUACCAAGCCGACGAUCUGUAGCUGGUCUGAGAGGACGAUCAGCCACACUGGGACUGAGACACGGCCCAGACUCCUACGGGAGGCGGCAGUGGGGAAUUUUGGACAAUGGGCGAAAGCCUGAUCCAGCAAUGCCGCGUGCAGGAUGAAGGCCUUCGGGUUGUAAACUGCUUUUGUACGGAACGAAAAGCCCCGGGUUAAUACCCUGGGGUCAUGACGGUACCGUAAGAAUAAGCACCGGCUAACUACGUGCCAGCCGCCGCCGUAACAC